rnacentral:lncRNA from 1 species
GUAAAUUUAUCAUUUUACUAAUUUUCCUGAAGGUCACUGAUAGGAUCAAUUAUGAAUUGAAGGUAAUUAUGAUUCCAACUGGAUGUCUGAAAGAUGAAAACAGUGAAAAUGAGAACUGUCUGACCCCCAGUGAAACUGAUCGCCCAAGUGAUGCAAAGGUACUACUUUAAUGUUGGCGUGGAUUAUUCUUUAAUCUGUUAUCUUUAGAUAAUUGUUUGUAUCAUUUUCUUUUCAUAUAAUAUUUUGAUAUGGAUAUAGAGAUAAAUAUAUAUAUAUAUAUAUACAUGGUUAGGUGUAUACGUUUGUCUUUUUAGUAUACUUGUAUUUGUGUGUAUGUAUUCACAGAGAGGGGGAUACAUAAGAAUGAACUGUGUAAUAUGUGAAUAUAUUGCCAAUGAAGGAUCGGGAGACAUCAUAUUACACUUUUGGGAAGUUACAGGGUCAAAUACAGCAUGUUAAAUUUUUCAGUUUUUCCACAUUGAAAUUCGCCAGAUUGGUUACGUUGCCUUUGAGACCAUAUGGUAGCCCAGGAAUGAAAAUUACCCCCAUGAUGGCAUACCAUUUGCAAUAGUAGACAACCCAAGGUAUUGCAAAUGGGGUAUGUCCAGUCUUUUUUUAGUAGACACUUAGUCACAAACACUGGCCAAAAUUGGCUAUUAAAUUAGUUUUUUGCAUUUUUUACACACAAACAAAUAAAUAUUAACACUAAAUUUGGCCAGUAUUUGUUACCAAGUGGGUACUAAAAAAGACUGGACAUACCCCAUUUGCAAUACCUUGGGUUGUCUACUAUUGUAAAUGGUAUGCCAUCAUGGGGGUAAUUUUCAUUCCAGGGCUACCAUGUGGUCUCAAAGGUGACGUAACCAAUCUGGCGAAUUUCAAUGUGAAAAAAAAUGAAAAAUGCAACAUGCUAUAUUUCACCCUGUAACUUCCGAUAACACCAUAAAACCUGUACAUAGGGGGUACUGUUUUACACGUGAGCCAUCGCUGAAUACAAAUAUGUGUAUUUUACUGCAGUAAAAGCAAACGGUAUUAUGACAUUCACAGUUAAAAAGUUAAAAAUGUCUUAUUUUCUCCCAUUUUUAAAAAUAUUUUAUUUAUAUUAAAUUAUGUUCCAUACCUAAAUAUUUGAUGUUAAAUGAAAGCCCUGUUUCCCCUGAAUAAAAUGGUAUAUAAUAAGUGUGGGUGCACAUAAUAUGAAAGAGGUGAAUUAAGCCUGAACAGACAUAUAGUGCAAAUUCCAGGUUUUGUUUACGUUUUGUUUUGAUCACAACGUGUACAACUGGCUCAGUCCUUAAGGGUUUAAAGACAGUAAAAGACUACAUGAUCUAAUAAAAGAAAAGAAGCCAGAGAGCCAUAUGAAAAAUGUUAAUUGUGAAUGGAAAGAUAGAAAGGAGUGUUGGUGAAGGAACAAGGGGCAAAAAAAGUAAAAUAAAUAUAUUCCCAGAGUAACAAAUAUUGAGCACUUGCAAGAAGUAAGUAUAUAGCACCAGGUGUCAUGUAAAUGUUGCAUAGAAUGAAGAUGGUGUGGAAAUUAAUACAUUUGUAAAAGUAAAAAAAAAACUUUUUUACAGAUUUCUAAAAUGCUAAUAUGGGGACAGAUAGAGACUCAGUAAAUAAAAAUGUAAACAACGGAUGGGUAAAUAAUUAUGUUCCUAGUAAAAGUGUCAUAGCACCAUUUGUUAUAUAACUAAAAAGAAAUUAAAAUAAAGAAAUGUAUAAAAACAAAAAAAGUUUUAAUAUUUCUUGAACCUUUUUGAAAUUUCUAAUUAAAGGGACACUGAUGUCACACAAAAACCAGUUUAGUUUAAGGGAGCAGUUUUUGUGUGUAGAUCAUGCCUCUGGAGUGUCACUGUGCAAUUCUCUGCCAUUUAGGAGUUAAUAACAUUUGUUUCUGUUUAUGCAGUCCUAGCCACACAUCCAAUGGCUGUGGCUGACACAGUCUGCAUGAAAACAAAAUGUUUUCAUUUUCAACCAGAUGUAACUUACUUUAAAAGCUUUUAUCUCCUGCUCCGUAAAUUGAACUUUAAUUACAUAUAGGAGGUUCCUGCAGGUUCUAGCAUACUAUUAACAGAGCAAGCGAUUUUUUAAUUAAAUUGAGUUUGCAAUAAAUGAAGUGUAAACAUUAGAUGACUCUUUACAGGAAGUAUUUAGGAAGGCUGCGUAAGUCACAAGCAGGGUGAGUUGUGCUUAGGCUGAUAAUUAAAGGGACACUAUAGUCACUAUAAAAAUUUAAUCUCUUUGAAUUGGUUAUAGUAAGCAUUAGAUUACAUUUGUUACCAGAAGGAGUUAUACAGGAGCAGAAAAACUGUCCAUGCAGAAUCCAAACAUUGAAACCAAAACAUUCAUGUCAACACAUACUCACAAAAUGGUUUCAGCUAUGAAGACUCAGUUUGUUGUAUUAACUUAUUAUGUUACCAGAUAAGAGGGCAAUCAGAUGAUUCUGAUCUGAUAAUUUCGAACAGUAUUGAUGAUUUAAUGGACAUUUAAAAGGAUUAAUGCCAGGGUUAAAUUUCAGAGCCCGAUUUGAAAGUCUUAAUCCAUUCAGACCAUAUAGUUUUGUGUUUAAGGAUUUCAAAUGAAUCAAUUCUAUUGAUUGUACUGUGAUUAAUUAAAACCUUUUUCCUUUCAACAUAGGUAGAAAAAUGUGUUUUUCGCAUUGAGGAAGCACGUCCAACAUUCAAGUCAGCAGUGACAGGCCACCGAUGUAUGACAGACAACAUUUGACACAUUGUUUCCGGCUGCCAAUAAAACUGGUUCUUUAAUACUUGAUCUUACAUAUAGGCCUCCAGCCAUUCUUCUUAAAAGUCAAAGUAUUGUCUUCUUUCAUGUGCCUUUUCCCUUCAUUUCACUAGUUGGAAAUGUAACUCUGCUUUUGCUAUGAUUUGAUAUGUUAAUGCUUAUCUAUCAUUAUGACUGGUAUUGCUAAUUAUGUGACCAUGGAAAAAUUGUGCCACAUGUAAUAAAUAAAAGUGUCACCAAACAUA